UACGAAGGGGGCUAGCGUUGUUCGGAAUUACUGGGCGUAAAGGGCGCGUAGGCGGGUCGUUAAGUUAGAGGUGAAAGCCCAGGGCUCAACCCUGGAACUGCCUUUAAUACUGGCAACCUAGAGUAUGACAGAGGUGUGUGGAACUCCGAGUGUAGAGGUGAAAUUCGUAGAUAUUCGGAAGAACACCAGUGGCGAAGGCGACACACUGGGUCAUUACUGACGCUGAGGCGCGAAAGCGUGGGGAGCAAACAGG
rnacentral:rRNA from 1 species